GAUGAACGCUGGCGGCGUGCCUAAUACAUGCAAGUCGAGCGAACAGAUGAGGAGCUUGCUCCUCUGACGUUAGCGGCGGACGGGUGAGUAACACGUGGAUAACCUACCUAUAAGACUGGGAUAACUUCGGGAAACCGGAGCUAAUACCGGAUAAUAUAUUGAACCGCAUGGUUCAAUAGUGAAGGACGGUUUUGCUGUCACUUAUAGAUGGAUCCGCGCCGCAUUAGCUAGUUGGUAAGGUAACGGCUUACCAAGGCAACGAUGCGUAGCCGACCUGAGAGGGUGAUCGGCCACACUGGAACUGAGACACGGCCCAGACUCCUACGGGAGGCAGCAGUAGGGAAUCUUCCGCAAUGGGCGAAAGCCUGACGGAGCAACGCCGCGUGAGUGAUGAAGGUCUUCGGAUCGUAAAACUCUGUUAUUAGGGAAGAACAAAUGUGUAAGUAACUAUGCACGUCUUGACGGUACCUAAUCAGAAAGCCACGGCUAACUACGUG
rnacentral:rRNA from 1 species